rnacentral:rRNA from 1 species
AGAAUCAACGCUGGCGGCGUGCCUAACACAUGCAAGUCGCACGAGAAAGGGGCUUCGGCUCUGAGUAAAGUGGCGCACGGGUGAGUAACACGUGAAUAAUCUACCUCCGAGUGGGGAAUAACUGAGAGAAAUCUUAGCUAAUACCGCAUAACACUUACGAGUCAAAGCAGCAAUGCGCUUGGAGAGGAGUUCGCGGCCGAUUAGUUAGUUGGCGGAGUAAUGGCCCACCAAGACGAUGAUCGGUA